GAUCCCCAAAGGCCACCGAGCCAGGGUGCUUCCCAAACCAGCCCCCCAGCCCUCGGUCCCAGGACCUGGUCUUGGGAGACAGGCUGCCCUUAGGAACGAUCGCUGGCCGGCCCCUUCCUUGGCCUACUGCCUGACUCUUCUUCGUCCCUGGCCACCGAGGGAGGCAGGGCAAGGUCCAGGGAAGACAAGCAGGAGGGUGCUGGGCUGGCCCCUCCCGCCCCCCUUACCCAUUCCCUCACCAGAAUCAAGUCCGCCCAGGGAGCCUGUAUUUCUACGAGAUUCUGAAAUCAGGCGGUCAGUAACUGGGGAGGGACCUCCAGAACUGAUCUCCCCCACCCGAAGGACCGUGUUGGCGAAGGAUGAUGGGCCUCGUGGUGCCUCCAGGGUCGCAACUCAACUCUGAUUUCCUCCCAGCACUCAGGCAAAAACAUUUUCCCUCGACUGGUUCUUUUCAGGAAUGGACUGCAAUUUCCAUCAUUCCCAGCCCCCGUGGGAGAGAAGCCAAAGACACAGUCCGGUGUCCGCUUUCCAAGAUUCUUUUUGCCCCUCACCUGGCCAUCCUCGGUGGGCAUUCACCCACUUUCUGGGUUCCCACGAUGUAUUGAGGCACGAGGCCGGAUCUGCCCGAAGGGGGACUGGCCGUAGUUCGGCCUUACAAAAUCAAGCCUGUUUGUCGAAUGCAGCCGGGACACCUGAGCUGGCAGAGAUUUCUUUGGGGAGGGGGCAAGAAACCAAGUCAGAAACGGUCUAUGAGAGUGUCCGCCCCCCCCAUCCUAGAUUGUUGUACGCCGCCCAGAGUCACUUCUUGUGAGAUGGGCGGCUAUAAAAAUGUGA